rnacentral:rRNA from 1 species
CCUACGGGUGGCAGCAGUGAGGAAUAUUGGUCACUGGCCGAGAGGCUGAACCAGCCAAGUCGCGUGCGGGAAGACGGCGCUACGGGUUGUAAACCUCUUUUGUCGGGGAACAAAGAGAGUCACGUGUGACUCAUUUAGAGUACCCGAAGAAAAAGCAUCGGCUAACUCCGUGCCAGCCGCCGCGGUAAUACGGAGGAUGCGAGCGUUCUCCGGAUUUAUUGGGUUUAAAGGGUGCGCAGGCGGAGGUGCAAGUCAGGGGUCAGAUUUCGGGGCUCAACCCCGUACUGCCGUUGAAACUGCAUCCCUUGAGUGCGCGAGAAGUAUGCGGAAUGCGUGGUGUAGCGGUGAAAUGCAUAGAUAUCACGCAGAACUACGAUUGCGAAGGCAGCAUACCGGCGCGCAACUGACGCUCAUGCACGAAAGCGUGGGUAUCGAACAGGAUUAGAUACCCGAGUAGUC